CGGAAGAGAUAAGUGCUGAAAGCAUCUAAGCACGAAACUUGCCCCGAGAUGAGUUCUCCCUGACUCCUUGAGAGUCCUGAAGGAACGUUGAAGACGACGACGUUGAUAGGCCGGGUGUGUAAGCGCAGCGAUGCGUUGAGCUAACCGGUACUAAUGAACCGUGAGGCUUAACCUUACAACGCCGAAGGUGUUU
rnacentral:rRNA from 1 species